AAAAGAAAAGGCAUAACUAAUCAACUUGAGUUUCAUUGAAAAUCUACUUCAAACUCCCAAUCGACUUUAAAUUCUAUGCAGUUAAAAUUUUCAACUCAGUCGUUGAGAAAUGGACCUAAGCGCAGUAUUCUUGUUCUUGUCGUUGAUGUUUCAAGUAAUCAACUGCGAAGUCAAAUGCUACACCCCAUACCAUCUCAAAUGUUUGCCGUCCACAUACCCUUUCGGUUUGGGGUAUAUAUAAAAAUGCAUGUAAUAGAGACCCAUUCCAUUGGACCCAAUUAAAUUAUUAGCUAACGUGGCCAAAGUACUUAUAUAGUUGAGGAUUUUAUAUUGGCGUAAUGACACUAUAAUAAAAAAUCGACUUAGUCAUAA